rnacentral:tRNA from 1 species
AAGGCUUUAAGUUAAUCAAACUAAUAGCCUUCAAAGCUGUAAAUAAAGGCAAGAACUCUUUAAGCCUUA